UACGAAGGGGGCUAGCGUUGCUCGGAAUUACUGGGCGUAAAGGGAGCGUAGGCGGACAUUUAAGUCAGGGGUGAAAUCCCAGAGCUCAACUCUGGAACUGCCUUUGAUACUGGGUGUCUUGAGUAUGAUAGAGGUAUGUGGAACUCCGAGUGUAGAGGUGAAAUUCGUAGAUAUUCGGAAGAACACCAGUGGCGAAGGCGACAUACUGGAUCAUUACUGACGCUGAGGCUCGAAAGCGUGGGGAGCAAACAGGA
rnacentral:rRNA from 1 species